rnacentral:rRNA from 1 species
UGCGCAGGCGGUUACUUAAGUCAGGUGUGAAAGCCCUGGGCUUAACCUAGGAAUUGCGCUUGAGACUGGGUAGCUUGGAGUGUGGCAGAGGGAGGUGGAAUUCCACGUGUAGCAGUGAAAUGCGUAGAGAUGUGGAGGAACACCGAUGGCGAAGGCAGCCUCCUGGGCCAGCACUGACGCUCAUGCACGAAAGCGUGGGGAGCAAACAGGAUUAGAUACCCCUGGUAGUCCACGCCCUAAACGAUGUCAACUGGUUGUUGGUGGGGUUAAACCCAUUAGUAACGAAGCUAACGCGUGAAGUUGACCGCCUGGGGAGUACGGCCGCAAGGUUAAA